UACAGAGGGUGCAAGCGUUAAUCGGAAUUACUGGGCGUAAAGCGCGCGUAGGCGGUUUGUUAAGUUGAAUGUGAAAUCCCCGGGCUCAACCUGGGAACUGCAUCCAAAACUGGCAAGCUAGAGUAUGGUAGAGGGUGGUGGAAUUUCCUGUGUAGCGGUGAAAUGCGUAGAUAUAGGAAGGAACAUCAGUGGCGAAGGCGACCACCUGGACCAAUACUGACGCUGAGGUGCGAAAGCGUGGGGAGCAAACAGG
rnacentral:rRNA from 1 species